rnacentral:tRNA from 1 species
UGGGCUAUAGUUCAGUGGUAGGGUGCUUGUCUGGCAUACAUGAGGACCUGGGUUUGAUCCCUAGCACUGCAG